rnacentral:rRNA from 1 species
UACGUAGGGGGCAAGCGUUGUCCGGAAUUAUUGGGCGUAAAGAGCGCGUAGGCGGUCCGAUAAGUCGGCUGUGAAAGUCAGGGGCUCAACCCUUGAAAGCCGGCCGAUACUGUCGGACUAGAGUCCGGAAGAGGCAAGUGGAAUUCCCGGUGUAGCGGUGAAAUGCGCAGAUAUCGGGAGGAACACCAAUGGCGAAGGCAGCUUGCUGGGACGGUACUGACGCUGAGGCGCGAAAGCCAGGG